CGCUGGCGCGUGCCUAAUACAUGCAAGUCGAGCGGAGUGAUGAAGAAGCUUGCUUCUUCUGAUUUUAGCGGCGGACGGGUGAGUAACACGUGGGCAACCUACCUUGUAGAUUGGGAUAACUCCGGGAAACCGGGGCUAAUACCGAAUAAUCCAUUUUGCUUCAUGGCGAGAUGUUAAAAGGCGGCUUCGGCUGUCACUACGAGAUGGGCCCGCGGCGCAUUAGCUAGUUGGUAGGGUAAUGGCCUACCAAGGCGACGAUGCGUAGCCGACCUGAGAGGGUGAUCGGCCACACUGGGACUGAGACACGGCCCAGACUCCUACGGGAGGCAGCAGUAGGGAAUCUUCCACAAUGGACGAAAGUCUGAUGGAGCAACGCCGCGUGAGUGAAGAAGGUUUUCGGAUCGUAAAACUCUGUUGUAAGGGAAGAACACGUACGAGAGUAACUGCUCGUACCUUGACGGUACCUUAUUAGAAAGCCACGGCUAACUACGUG
rnacentral:rRNA from 1 species